rnacentral:tRNA from 1 species
AAGAUUUUAAGUUAAAUAAACUAAUAAUCUUCAAAAUUAUUUAUAAAAGAAUCACUUUUAAAUCUUA